rnacentral:rRNA from 1 species
ACGUAUGCAAUCUGCCCACAACAGGAGGAUAGCUCCCCGAAAGGGGAAUUAACCCUCCAUAGGAUCACACGAAGGCAUCUGAGAGUGAUUAAACCAAAAGGGGUUGUGGAUGAGCAUGCGGUUGAUUAGCUAGUUGGUAAGGUAACGGCUUACCAAGGCGAUGAUCAAUAGGGGAACUGAGAGGUUUAUCCCCCACACUGGCACUGAGAUACGGGCCAGACUCCUACGGGAGGCAGCAGUAGGGAAUAUUGGACAAUGGGCGAGAGCCUGAUCCAGCCAUGCCGCGUGCAGGAAGAAGGCCUUCUGGGUUGUAAACUGCUUUUGCCAGGGGAUAAAAGACCCGUGCGCGGGGAAUUGAAGGUACCUGGUGAAUAAGCCACGGCUAACUACGUGCCAGCAGCCGCGGUAAUACGUAGGUGGCAAGCGUUGUCCGGAUUUAUUGGGUUUAAAGGGUGCGUAGGCGGCCCUGUAAGUCAGUGGUGAAAUACGGCAGCUCAACUGUCGAGGUGCCAUUGAUACUGCAGGGCUUGAGUACAGACGAGGUAGGCGGAAUUGACGGUGUAGCGGUGAAAUGCUUAGAUAUCGUCAAGAACACCGAUAGCGAAGGCAGCUUACUAGACUGUAACUGACGCUGAUGC